UACAGAGGUGGCAAGCGUUGUUCGGAAUUACUGGGCGUAAAGGGCGCGUAGGCGGUUCGUUAAGUCCUGUGUGAAAUCCCCCGGCUCAACUGGGGAACUGCACAGGAAACUAGCGGGCUUGAGUUCGGGAGAGGGAAGCGGAAUUCCGGGUGUAGCGGUGGAAAUGCGUAGAUAUCUGGAGGAACACCGGUGGCGAAGGCGGCAUCCUGGACCAAUAUUGACGCUGAGGAGCGAAAGCCAGGGGAGCGAACGGGAUUAGAUGACCCUAGUA
rnacentral:rRNA from 1 species